AUUACGGGUGAUGGGAAGCUCAGCCAGGUCCAAAUCGUAAUGAAUCAAUGCAGGAGUCCCCUCAGCACAGCACCAUUGACUUAACAAGGGGACGACCAGAUAAAAGUCUAUUUGAUACUUCCAUCUGUCUGCCGGCUUAAAUCAAAUACUCGAGACCCCUCCAGCGGCGUGUUACUUUGGACUUGAUCCUUAUCAGCCUGCUUGGAAUGCCGAAGGCCAAAACAGUUGCGGUCUUCCUGAUGACUAUCUCCUUUUUUGCCCCGCUUUGUUAUCAAAAGUAAAAGAAGGAUAAGGAUAAAAACACGUAAAAGGUUACUUGCAUAAAUAUAUUGUGUAAUAUACUUUUUUUUACAAUUAAAUCCUGUAUGUACUAAAAUAAUAAUGCACAAUUAUUGAGGUAUCAUUUUAGAUAUGUAUAUGUUUUCUUACUUUUUUUAUUUUUAAAGGCUUCUUUGCCAAUAUUUCAACAAGUACAUAAUUAGAUAUGCGUUAUAAAAAU